rnacentral:lncRNA from 1 species
AUUGGACUAGAGAUAUGCAGACAGUUAGCUUCUAAUAGAGUCAUGGUGGUAUUAACAGCUAGAGAUGAGAAGAGGGGUCUUGAAGCUGUGGCAAAGCUUCACGAAUCUAGCCUGUCUAAUGUAGUUUUCAUCAGCUUGAUGUGAUGGAUGCCAAUAGUAUCACUUCCUUGGAAAAAUUCAUUGUAACCCAUCAUGGGAAGCUUGAUAUUUUAGCAAGGAAUCGAGCAUUUUGUGAGGAGCAUUUUUUUACUCAUUUUUCUUCUGCUAGGGGAAAAAAGGGAAAAAAAUCUUGGGGAUUUGAGAGUUUGAGAUUAGUAUGAUACCUCACUUACAGGGCUUUGAAAAUUUUAUACCUCAAUAAGGAAGAAAAGCAAAAACAUUUUAAUCAUGUAGGGAAACAUUUCUUGUUGCCUUACUUCAUCUUACCAUGAUAAGAACAAUAAAAGCAAAUUUAAGAAUACAAGAAAAUCGAAAUCAGGUAAGCUGCCAUUCAUUUGGAGUGAGUGCAAGCCAGGUGAGAAUAAAUAUAACAGCAAUAUAAAGAGAAUCAGAGGGAUUCCAAAUUGAUCAGCAAUAUGAAAUCAAAAUUUUAUGCAGGUGAGUAAUGCAGGGGUUAGUGGAGCCAUUGUCGACUGGGAAGCAAUUAAGACCUUAAAACUUGAGGACGGUAAGGUAUGUAAUUACAUGCUCUUGAAAACUCAUCACCAGGAACACUAAGCUCAUCUCAAUGUCUAUCAAAGAUAUAUUGCAAUGGAUAAAUUUAAAGAGUCAGAUAUCAUCAAUGAUUGAAUAUUGCUUCACUGAUGCAGAAUAAUACUAAUGUAGCUGAAUUGCUGAAUAAAGCCUCAAAGCAAACUUAUGGGUUGGCUGAAGAAUGUGUAAAAACAAACUGCUAUGGCACCAAAGGGGUGACUGAGGCCCUUCUUCGAUGCCUUCUGCUAUCAAAUUCAGGAAGAAUUGUGAACGUGUCUGGAGGUCUUGGAAAACUUCAGGUAUGUAAAUGUAAUUGCACCUUCACGGGGAAAUGAUAAAACCAAAUUCGAACUUUAUAAUGCAUGAGUCAUGUCUAGCAUUUCCAUUAAUCAUAAGAUUAAUGUUGAGUUCUUCCUUAUUUUAUCAGUUUGUCCCCAGUGAAAGGGUUAGAAUGGAGCUAAAUGAUGUUGAUGUACUCUCAAUAGAGACAGUAGAUGAGAUAGUAAAUGAAUUCCUCAAGGAUGUUAAGGAUGACAUGUUACAUGACAAAGGCUGGCCAACUCAGACAUCUGCAUAUACAAUCUCCAAAGCAGCCAUGAAUGCUUACACAAGGAUUGUUGCCAAAUCAUACCCAAGUCUCCUCAUAAAUUGUGUUUGUCCUGGUUUCGUCAAAACCGAUAUGACUUCCAACACUGGUCUCUUCACUGUUGCAGUGGGUGCCAAAGGCCCUGUUAUGUUGGCUUUGCUUCCAGAGGGAGGACCUUCUGGCCUCUUUUUGGAAAAGAUGGAGGCAUCAACCUUUUGAUCAUAAGUCAGUUACAGGAAUGAGUUGGUUUCCGGCUUUAUGUAUUUCCUAUGGUUGUAUUUGUAAGGUUAUCCAACUUUUCCUAUUGCUUUGCUGAGACAACGGGGUAAUGAAUGUGAAGCUUCUCUUGUAUUCAGAGUUAUAAUCAUGAACUUUAGCUGUCUGUGACAAUUGAUAAUCCUUUUAAAAGUAGGAACUAGGAAACCAGUCUCAUUUCAAUAUAUGCAAAUUAAUUCUUAUUUAAUAAAGAAAUUCCACGGGAUAGGACAUGGGAUUGGAAGCUCAAUUUGAACUGGCAUUCAGGUAUUUCAUCUAAUUUCUUUAAUGGUUAUCCGCUCUUGUAAGAAAUUGUUCAGUUCUCCGCAUUUCUAUCACUUACAACUUGUUUCUCUCUGCUGGCUUAAGGAAGUAGAGGACAGAGCAGGUGAAUCAUUACCUAAAGCUCAUGAUGCCAACAAAGUUUUGCAAUCUCAACAGAAGACGUCCUGCCAGAAGUCAAUGUAGUCACAAGAAUCUACAAUAACUCAAUAGAAUAUUUGGUGUCCCCUUGUCGGGAAGGUUGUGUUUGCAGCCAGCUAUUUGAAAGUAAUAUGACAAACUCCAAUCAAUUGGAAUAUGAAAUUUGACUCUCAAAGGAAAAUAUUAUCUUUCUCAUGCACUCUUGGUUGACACCAUUUUAUGUUCUUAAAUUGCCCCUCUUUGCCUUCAUGUUAGCUAUAAUCUUGUCUCCAUAUCAGCAGCAAGCCCCCUCCGUGUCACAGGAGAGAUUGAAAAUUUUAAAAACAAAAAAAUCUGAAUUUGAAACUCAUGAAAAAUCACCCGACUCGACAAUCGACAAUCGACUAUUAUUUCUCUAAUUUGAAACUUUUCUUCUAUUUGAUUUGGGAACAUUUCUCUCUCUCUCUCUUGGUUUCAUCACCCACACAAUCUCAAGAUCCAUCUAAAAUUUCCCAAAAAUGGUCUCAUUUGAGAGAAAAAAAAUCAUUAAUUCAAAACUACAACCUAUGUGUUUCUCUCUUGUCCAGGUAAAAUUGCAACAAAAUGGAUCAUUCCAUCUUAAGAAUGUUCGAUUAAAAGACAACUUCAAGAGACACAUAUGUGAUUGUGAAUUUACUACAACAACGUGUACUCGAACGAAAAGGUAAAAUCCAAAAUAUUGGGUUCAUUAACAAGAUAUCUCUUCUUGUCAUUGAGUCGCAUUUUACCCUAACCCCAAAUUGAAAUUUGAAGGUAAAUAAUUUUUAUUUAUUGUUCUUUUAGUUCAUUUGUUUGAAACCAAUUAGAGAGAAGAAAAGUUUCAUAUUAGGGAAAUAACAGCCGAUCGGGUGAUUUUUCGUAUAUUUCAAAUUCAGAUUUUUCUAUUUUUAAAAUUUUAAGUUUCUCAUGUGACAUGGAUGGCUUGCUGCUGAUAUAGUGAAGGCAAGGAGGGGCAAUCUAGGAACAUAAAACGGAGUCAGCAAAGAUUCCACGAUAAAGAUAAUAUUUUACUUUUGACGGUCAAGUCUCAUAUUACAGCUUAGUGAAUUUGAUUGUCAUGUCACUUUCAAAUAGUUGGCUGCGAACUCAACUUUCCCUUGCAUUUAAAACAAUGAAUAUAUCGAUUGAUAAUGGCCUUUAAAACGAUGACAUUGUCGGCCCUGCAAUGAAAUCCCCAACGCUCAAACACCACCAAGCCACCUACGGAUAGAGAGAGAGAGAGUGGGGAACUUAGCAAAAGCAGAGAGCUUCCUCUGCAACCCACGCCCACGCCCACGCCCACGCCGGUGACACUAUGGAGACGAAGUAGAGAGAUGAGAUACCAGCACCCAAGAUCGUCGCCAAUGUAGGAGGAGGGAUCCACGAAGGUGUUGCUGUCCACCCCGUGGUGAGGUUAGCAAAGAAAUGCCCUUAACCUCCUCUUCUCAGACACCUCAAAGACAAUCACGGCUUGGACUAAAAAACUUUUCAAAGACUUCAUCGGGGUCAUCUUUUUCAUCACGGGUCUUCAAUCAUGGGUCGUGAUUCUAGUCAAAAAAUUUUCCUUUUGAAGAGUUAUUGAUUUUUCAAAAAUUUGUCAGUUUGUUGUUUUGGUCUCUCUCUCUCUCUCUCUCUCUCAGUUUUGGGUGCUGUUUUGCUGUGAUUUGAAAGGAAAUUUGUUUGUUUAGAGUUUACCUCAAAAAAGUUUCGGUAACUCGGAUGAUUCGCCCGAGUGAACUCGGUAUCUCGACCGAAUCAACUGAGUUUAACCGAUUCCUGGCCGAAGAUGGUAUCGGGUAUCGGACUCGGCGCGGAACCAUGCAGCAUUGACUAUCAUGGUUGGGAAAUUAUUCAGUUUUUGCCUUUAGGUAUUAUAUUCUUACUGGUCAGGUCAGAUGUUUGGGGUCACAUUAUAUAGUCAUGCCCAGAUCCCGUAUUUCAAACAAGAAUCUGCUGCGGAAACUUGCAGAAGAUUCUUUUUGGAUUUGAUAAUUUUAAACAUUUGGCUUGGGGCUUGGAUUAUUCUGCUCAAAAUCUUCAAUAAGACAAAAACUUUUGAAGAAACUAUAAAGAAUAUUCAAAUUGCAUGGCGAAAUUCCUAUAAAAACUAUGCUUUUGUACAUACCUAUAUAUAGAUGACCAUGUCCCAAGAUGUCCAUAUAAAAUUAUGUCUGAGUUGGUAUUGAUCUUGUCAACGUCCAACUUUACUAUAUCUUAUAUUAAGCUUAUAUAGCAAUCAUCAUCAAAUGAAAUUAAUUAGAAAUACAAUAAAAUUGCCCGACAGAGGCCUAUUCAAAGGUGGAAUGAAGAUUGUAUAAUUUGUAUUGGUUGAUUUUGUAGAGGGGUGAGAAUCACUCUGUGCUGGAGAUCACCAUUUACAAGAAGGUUUGCAUUAAAGGGUACCUGGAUAAGUGUUCAGUUAAACCUAGCAUUCCUCUUCUGAUCCAAAAGAAAAUGGCAUCAACCACCUCAGAUUCAACAACAAUGAGGUAUGGCCUUUUUUUAAGCUACUAGUUGUAGACUGCAACUCAUAGCUGUUGAGAAUAAAAAGCAGUAGCAUAUUCUUAAUUACUAUUUAUUUUUGGUUUUCAGAUAUGCAGUUGUAACUGGAGCAAGUAAAGGAAUUGGACUAGAGAUAUGCAGACAGUUAGCUUCUAAUGGAGUCAUGGUGGUAUUAACAGCUAGAGAUGAGAAGAGGGGUCUUGAAGCUGUGGCAAAGCUUCACGAAUCUAGCCUGUCUAAUGUAGUUUUUCAUCAGCUUGAUGUGAUGGAUGCCAAUAGUAUCACUUCCUUGGCAACAUUCAUUGUGACCCGUUAUGGGAAGCUCGAUAUUUUAGUAAGGAAUCAACCCUUUUUGGAAGGACAUUUUUUACCCAUUUUCCUUCUGCUAGGGAAGAAAAAAAAUACACCUUGGGGAUUUGGGAGCUUGAGAUUAGUAUGAUACCUCACUUAGAGGGCUCUGAAAAAUUUAUACCUCAAUCAGGAAGACAAGCAAAAACAUUUUAAUCAUGUAGAGAAACAUUUCUUGUUGCAUUACUUCAUCUUACUGUGAUAAGAACAGUAAAAGCAAAUUUAAGAAUAAAACAAAUGGAAAUCAGAUAAGCUGCAAUUUAUUUGGAGUGAUUGCAAGCCAAGUGAGUAUAAAUACGAUAGCAAUAUUAGGAGAAUCAGAUGGAUUCUAAGUUGAUCCGCAAUAUGAAAUCAAAAUUUUAUGCAGGUUA